CCUACGGGUGGCAGCAGUGAGGAAUAUUGGUCAAUGGCCGCAAGUCUGAACCAGCCAAGUAGCGUGCAGGAAGACGGCCCUACGGGUUGUAAACCUCUUUUAUCGGGGAGCAAAACGAGCCACGUGUGCUUCGUUGAGAGUGCCCCAAGAAAAAGCGUAGGCUAACUCCGUGCCAGCAGCGGCGGUAAUACGGAGGAUGCGAGCGUUAUCCGGAUUUAUUGGGUGUAAAGGGUGCGCAGGCGGAGGUGCAAGUCAGCGGUCAAAUUGCGGGGCUCAACCCCGUACUGCCGUUGAAACUGCAGCCCUUGAGUGCGCGAGAAGUAGGCGGAAUGCGUGGUGUAGCGGUGAAAUGCAUAGAUAUCACGCAGAACUCCGAUUGCGAAGGCAGCAUACCGGCGCGCAACUGACGCUCAUGCACGAAAGCGUGGGGAUCGAACAGGAUUAGAUACCCGAGUAGUC
rnacentral:rRNA from 1 species